CAGAACUGGGUCUGUCUGCUGGAUGGUGAUCUGCAAGAAUGCUCUGUGUUGCCAGAUCCUGUAGAAGAGGGACUGUUUGGUUGAGCUGACACAAAAGUGAAGCAGAGGCCAGCUCCCCUUUCCGCUGACAGCUCUGUGUCAAGUCGAGGUCUUGCUAGCAUCACUGACGUGCGGGUUGGUAGAGCAGAUUGCUCCUCUGCUACUGCCACCUAAACCAUGGAGGGGUUGCUCUGCUCACCGCGGAGUCUCUACCUCUCCAGGAUUCCACACGGCACAAACUCUGGUUGGAAGACUCACUACUGAGAGGCCUCCUGCUAGCUCUGACUCCAGUAAACCUGACCUCCAAUAAUUCCUGCCGUCGCGGGUACAGGCUAUUCAAUUCCUCCAUCAUUUCUAUUGCCAUCACCGCUGUUCCGUGCUCCUCCCGGGAGGGGCCCAGACCCGCAUAGCAGCAGAGGUUUGAUGCUUAUUCUACGUUGGUUUAUUUAGAAUUCGGAUUUAUCCUCAAAUAGAAUUUUCUGACCCAUGGAAGAAUAGCGUGAAAGCAGGAGAAGCCCUGGAGGGAAAAGACCUACAGCUAUUGUCAGUCACCACGUGGUGUCUCGAAAGGCCUUUGAUCAAAUCUGUCGUCUCAUUAUUGUUUAUAAUCUGGGACGCACUAGUUUUCUGGGAUGACGGCUCCGCAAAGAGCAAUGGCCUCUAGGGCGUAGACAUGCUGAUGUUCAUUCCUUCCAAUCACUCUUUCACUUCUGGCCAUGUUUGCUCUGCUGGAAAUCUGGGGAGUAAAUCAUAGAAAUAAUGCGUCACAAUGAUUUGAAACUUGCCGUGCAUUGGUGGCUUAUGAAUAUCAACAGGGAUCACAUCACCUCUUCUUUCUUGGGCCAUUGAUAUUCUAUAUUUUCACAUUUUAAUUAGCGUUCAGGUUAAGCCUUGCUAAGAUGGAGGUUCUUAUUUGGCGGGAACUCUCAUGGAACCCUAGGGAGGAUGAAUUUACUCUCAGCACUUCCCUUCCUGGCUCAGAGCUCAAACUGCAUGUCAGGG
rnacentral:lncRNA from 1 species